AGUCCAAUAGCUCGUUUCAAUCGGUUCAGCUGUUCUGGAACCAAUGGCGCUGACGGAUUUUGAGUUUGACGCACGGAUUUCGAGAAAAUCCAAAAAUACAUGUUUUAUAUGUAUUUAUGUGUGUGUUUCCUUCUAUUGGAAGAAGGUUGGAUUUUGUCGUGAAUCCGUGGUCGAUCGAGAUAAAACGAAAUCGCAGCUUUGUUGUCUCCGUCGUGCUGAUCGCACUGGUGUGAACCGUUCGCGAAUCUGACGGACGGAUCUGCGGAGAUCGCGCGUUGAUCGAGAAAGGUCGGUAGUGGCAAAACGGUAUUUUCGCAAAAGUCGCGAUAUUUUAUGUACCGUUUCGCGUGGGAUCGCACGUGGAGGGGCGUUCAUGCGUUUUAGUCGUACUGUGAGGGACUCGGAUUGUAAUUCUGAUGUUUGGGGGACCUUUUUGCAUGUUGCGCCUUACUUUUAUAGGCUCUUUAGGGUUUGGAGCCACUCAACCCUAACCCUAGCCUUGCCCUAGCCCCCUAGCCGCCUCCUACCUCUUCCCUGCACUUGCUGCGCGUGCCCUGGCCGCCGCCGAUCGAGCCCCGGCCGGCCAACCACGCGGCAGCCACCACUCUCCAUCUUCUUCCCUCUCUUUCUCUCUUCCUCUCUCCUCUCGGGUUGUGUGGAGGCCCGAGACUGCUGCCACCUUCGGACCCUCCCUCGGUGUCGCCCCGUGCUCCGGCGACCUUCCCCGCCGACCGCCGCCGUCGCCUGCGCCGCCGCUGCCGCCCCGGGCCACAUCUGCCAGCCCAGACCGAGCCCUGGCCGUGACCCACUCGUGACCUCCCUCCUGCACCGCCGCCGCCUGGAAACCCUCCCGCCGACACCCUCCGUGCCCGGGCGCCCCUUCCCGCCGGUCGCCGCCGCCCCGGCGCGCCGCCUUCGCCGCCUCGGCCAGCCGCGGCCGCCCCAGCCCGAGCCCAGGCCGAUCUUGUUUGCGACCACUUUCCCGCGCCGCCGCCGCUCGAGGCCGCCUCCUUCCUCCUCCUCCGGCCUCUGGGGACCCGCAGUCGUCGUCCCCGACCUUCCCCAGUCGCCGCCGUGGCCGCAGCUUCCUUGGAGUCCGUGCCCUAGCUCUUGCGGGCCGAGCUUGCUCCGCCGCUGCCACUGCCGCUUCUCGUCGCCAACCGAGGUGAGCACGGAGUUCCUCACCUCCCCCUCACCCGACUCAGGGCCCCGCGCGCGCCGCCGUGCCGCCGGAGGCCGGCCGGAGCAAGGUUGCUCCGGCCAAGCCCGAAAUAGGGCUUAUUUGAGUGGGUUUCUUGUUCUGGGCUUCCCGAGCUUCCCCGAUCUCUACGGAAGGGAGCACGAUGAUCCUGGCAAGUUGCUGAUCAUCGUGCUCACCUUGGUUUCUGUCGGGAAGGCCCCGUUCCGCUGUUUUGGC
rnacentral:lncRNA from 1 species